AGUUUAAGUAGUGUAUGUGCACGAUUGAUUUUCAGUCUUUUAGAAGGAUGCUUUUCCUCUUAAAUU
rnacentral:tRNA from 1 species